rnacentral:misc_RNA from 1 species
AACGCAUAUUGCGCCCUCUGGUAUUCCGGGGGGCAUGCCUGUUCGAGCGUCAUUAUCACCCCUCAAGCCCGGCUUGUUGUUGGACGCCGGCGGCGGCCCUCGUGCCGCUGCCCGUCUCAAAGAUAAUGACGGCGUCUGUGAGGACUCCUGUACACUGAGCUUUCGGGCACGUACUAGGUUAGCACUCACAGACCCGGUCUACGUGUCGUCGUUCGCGGCGAUGCAACUUUUUACCAAGGUUGACCUCGGAUCAGGUAGGAAUACCCGCUGAACUUAA